GACAGAGGUGCCGAGCGUUAGGCGGAAUCACUGGGCUUAAAGCGUGUGUAGGCGGGUCGUUAAGUGUCUUGUGAAAUCCCCCCGGCUCAACCGGGGAAUGGCUGGGCAUACUGGCGAUCUUGAGCAGUCUAGGGGCAGAUGGAACAAGUGGUGGAGCGGUGAAAUGCGUAGAUAUCACUUGGAACGCCAAAGGUGAAAACAGUCUGCUGGGGACUUGCUGACGCUGAGACACGAAAGCCAGGGGAGCGAACGGG
rnacentral:rRNA from 1 species